rnacentral:rRNA from 1 species
UGGCCGUCGUCAGCUCGUGCCCGUGAGGUGUUGGGUUAAGUCCCGCAACGAGCGCAACCCCCGCCGUUAGUUGCCAGCGGUUCGGCCGGGCACUCUAACGGGGACUGCCCGCGAAAGCCGGGAGGAAGGAGGGGGACGACGUCUGGUCAGCAUGGCCCUUACGGCCUGGGCGACACACGUGCUACAAUGCCCACUACAAAGCGAUGCCACCCGGCAACGGGGAGCUAAUCGCAAAAAGGUGGGCCCAGUUCGGAUUGGGGUCUGCAACCCGACCCCAUGAAGUCGGAGUCGCUAGUAAUCGCAGAUCAGCAACGCUGCGUGACUACGUUCCGAGCCUU